GCCGUGUUGGCGUAGUGGUAGCGCGUCUCACUCGUACAUUUGCAAAGUGCAAUGAGAAGGUCACUCGUUCAAUCCGGGUACACGGCA